AUACGGAGGAUGCAAGCGUUAUCCGGAUUUAUUGGGUUUAAAGGGUGCGUAGGCGGUUUGCUAAGCGGGAGGUGAAAUGCCGGCGCUCAACGUCGGAAGUGCCUCCCGAACUGGUGGACUGGAAUGACUCUGCCGUGGGAGGAAUGUGUAGUGUAGCGGUGAAAUGCUUAGAGAUUACACAGAACACCGAUUGCGAAGGCAUCUCACGAAGGGUUGAUUGACGCUGAGGCACGAAAGCGUGGGGAUCAAACAGGAUUAGAUACCCUGGUAGUCCACGCAGUAAACGAUGAUGGCUAACCGCUGGGCUUAUCAGUUCAGUGGCCAAGCGAAAGCGAUAAGCCAUCCACCUGGGGAGUACGACCGCAAGGUUGAAACUUAAAGGAAUUGACGGGG
rnacentral:rRNA from 1 species